UACGUAGGGGGCAAGCGUUGUCCGGAUUUAUUGGGCGUAAAGAGCGUGUAGGCGGCCAAGCAGGUCAGCUGUGAAAACUCGAGGCUCAACCCUCGAGACGUCGGUUGAAACCGCUUGGCUAGAGUCCGGAAGAGGAGAGUGGAAUUCCCGGUGUAGCGGUGAAAUGCGCAGAUAUCGGGAAGAACGACCCGUGGCGAAGGCGGCUCUCGUGGGACGGUACUGACGCUGAGACGCGAAAGCGUGGG
rnacentral:rRNA from 1 species